UUUAUGUUCAGUAAGGUGUGUGAGGACUUUCUGUAGUGGGACAGAGACUAAGUGAACUAUGUUUGAAGAACCUGGAGCAGACGGUGGAAGACUUCGAGAUGCAAGCAAGACUCACAUAAAUACGUUCAUAGCCUAGUGAAGCUGCACUCAAACAGGCUCAAACGUGCCAUCCAUCGACAUUGGACGUAUCUGACCAUAGAGGACACGGUGGCAUGAAGGGCUUCGACUGUAAUACAGCCCAGCCAUUGACUUCGAUAAAGACUGCCUCCCGCUGGGGACUUAGCCAGCUCACUGCUGACUCUGACUCCACAACCUGCCACAUGGUAUUACAGCGCUGAGCCUUCAAAUGUCAGCCCACACAUAUACCUGUUUGCCGGUGGAGGACAAUUAUUUCUCUGAAUCAUUGCAGGAUAUGUUUGAGAGUUGUGUAUUAGGCAGAGGGGCGGACUAUACCAAUUACAGAGUCAGGGUUCCUAAGAGUUUGUGUUUUGUGCAAA